rnacentral:rRNA from 1 species
UCCUGGCUCAGGAUGAACGCUAGCUACAGGCUUAACACGAUGCAAGUCGAGGGGCAGCAUUGGAGUAGCAAUACUCAGAUGGCGACCGGCGCACGGGUGAGUAACACGUAUCCAACCUGCCGCUUACUCGGGGAUAGCCUUUCGAAAGAAAGAUUAAUACCCGAUGGUAUAAAGAGUUCGCAUGUUCUCUUUAUUAAAGAAUUUCGGUAAGCGAUGGGGAUGCGUUCCAUUAGAUAGUUGGCGGGGUAACGGCCCACCAAGUCUACGAUGGAUAGGGGGUUCUGAGAGGAAGGUCCCCCACAUUGGAACUGAGACACGGUCCAAACUCCUACGGGAGGCAGCAGUGAGGAAUAUUGGUCAAUGGACGAGAGUCUGAACCAGCCAAAAGUAGCGUGAAGGAUGACUGCCCUAUGGGUUGUAAACUUCUUUUAUAAGGGAAUAAAGUGAGGGACGUGUCCCUUUUUGUAUGUACCUUAUGAAUAAGGAUCGGCUAACUCCGUGCCAGCCGCCGC